CGUCAGCUGUGAAAACCCGCAGCUCAACUGUGGGCUUGCAGCUGAUACGGGCAGGCUUGAGUUCGGUAGGGGAGACUGGAAUUCCUGGUGUAGCGGUGAAAUGCGCAGAUAUCAGGAGGAACACCGGUGGCGAAGGCGGGUCUCUGGGCCGAUACUGACGCUGAGGAGCGAAAGCGUGGGGAGCGAACAGGAUUAGAUACCCUAGUAGUC
rnacentral:rRNA from 1 species